AGGCGCUGGAGUUGGGGCAAAAGGGAGAGGGAGGGAGCCCGAAACUCGCGGCGGCGGCCAAUCGGCUCUCACUGCCGUCCAAUCGCAAGACCUAGCUGCAGUGUGAUUGGCCUUCGGCCCCGGUCCCAGGAGCGGGGAGAUGCCUGACUCGGGUCGUGGCUGACGACCCGACGGUUCGCCUGCGGCCGCCUCCAACAACGGUGGAAACCGCACACAGGGACCGCGGGCCCUCGGUGCAGCAAAUCGGAAAGUGCUGCGGUCGGCGGCCCUGGGCUCUGAGCGCUCAAGCGAGCAGAGGGGUGGAGGGGCUCUCCCCACCCACAGGAGGCUCUCGGCGGGGCGCAGCCAAUUCUGCGCGCCCAAGGCUCCCCUCUGCCGUGGAUCGCGUGUGCCGAGUGUUGGCCUCUUCCCCGAAAGGGCCAGACGGACCAAGGGGGCCUUCCCAGCCGGCUGCAAGCUCUCAGACGCUAAAAUGGGAACAAAGCUUCCAGAAAGGCAGCGCCUUUGGGCGGCCGCGCCCCGCCCAGCCGCGGGGGCCAUUGAUACAGAGGCUUGCUGCGCUUGGUGUGCGCGGCCCGGCCGGGCCUCUGGAAACGCCCAUGAGAAAUGAGCUCAUGCUGGAUGCGCGCGCUCCUUGGGCGCAACUGCCCAGCGCAAAACGGGCCCCGAAAGCAGGUGAGUGGAGGACACUUCAAUCUAAAGUGAUCUUAAAGGAGGAGUAGUAGGAUUUGAAGAUGAAGAAAGAAGAGGGGAGGUUAAAAAAUGGAGGCAACAGCUGGGUACAGUGGCUCACUCCUGUAAUUCCAGCACUUUAGGAGGCCAAGGUAGGCAGAUCACUUGAGAAAAAGAGUUCGAGACCAGCCUGGGCAACAUAGUGAGACCCUCUCUCUCAAAAAAAAUAGCCAAGUGUGAUGAUGGACACCUGUAACCCCAACUACUUCAGAGACUGAGGCAGGAGGAUCACUUGAGCCUAGGAGGUCAAGGCUGCAGUGAGCUGUGAUUGGGCCACUGCACUCCAGCCUGGGUGACACAGAGAGACCUCUCUAAAAAAUAAAAAAAUAAAAAAAAUGGAAGCACAGAAAACUAUACCUUUUCUAGCUCAACUUUACCACAUUGAUGAAAAAGUAUUGAGCAGCCACAGGUACAUGACAUUCCACUAUGUUCUUGGGAUAAUAUUAAAGAAAAGGCAUGAAGGUAUGCUCUGAGCAGGCAAGAGAAGUCACAUAAAAUGAGAGUAAUUUAUAAUGUGAUUUUUUCCCAUGGUCCUUCUUUUUCUCAUUUAACUGUUUACUCCUUUAUAUGUUAUAGCAAUUGUUGUUUAAUAAUUGCAUUAAAAUAAAUAGAUGCCUUGGACACUGAUA
rnacentral:lncRNA from 1 species